GCGGGAGUAGCUCAAUGGUAGAGCCUCAGUUUUCCAAACUGAUGACGGGGGUCCGAUUCCCCUCUCCCGCU
rnacentral:tRNA from 1 species